AUUGAACGCUGGCGGCAGGCCUAACACAUGCAAGUCGAGCGGAUGAAGGGAGCUUGCUCCUGGAUUCAGCGGCGGACGGGUGAGUAAUGCCUAGGAAUCUGCCUGGUAGUGGGGGAUAACGUCCGGAAACGGGCGCUAAUACCGCAUACGUCCUGAGGGAGAAAGUGGGGGAUCUUCGGACCUCACGCUAUCAGAUGAGCCUAGGUCGGAUUAGCUAGUUGGUGGGGUAAAGGCCUACCAAGGCGACGAUCCGUAACUGGUCUGAGAGGAUGAUCAGUCAAAUGGGAACUGAGAAACGGGCCAGCCCCCUACGGGGGGCAGCAGGGGGGAAUAUUGGAAAAUGGGCGAAAGCCUGACCCAGCCAUGCCGGGGUGGGGAAGAAGGGCUUCGGUUUGUAAAGCAUUUUAAGUGGGGAGGAAGGGCAGUAAGUUAAUACCUGGCUUUUUUGACGUUACCAAAAAAAUGAGCACCGGCUAACUUCGU
rnacentral:rRNA from 1 species